rnacentral:tRNA from 1 species
UAAAUGAAAGCCAAAUAAGAGGCGCCUAGCUGUUAAUUAGGAGAAUGUAAUAAGACUUACUCAUUUAG